rnacentral:rRNA from 1 species
AUUGAACGCUGGCGGCAGGCCUAACACAUGCAAGUCGAGCGGUAACACAGGGAGCUUGCUCCUGGGUGACGAGCGGCGGACGGGUGAGUAAUGUCUGGGAAACUGCUGAUGGAGGGGGAUAACUACUGGAAACGGUAGCUAAUACCGCAUAACGUCGCAAGACCAAAGAGGGGGACCUUCGGGCCUCUUGCCAUCAGAUGUGCCCAGAUGGGAUUAGCUAGUAGGUGGGGUAAUGGCUCACCUAGGCGACGAUCCCUAGCUGGUCUGAGAGGAUGACCAGCCACACUGGAACUGAGACACGGUCCAGACUCCGACGGGAGGCAGCAGUGGGGAAUAUUGCACAAUGGGCGCAAGCCUGAUGCAGCCAUGCCGCGUGUAUGAAGAAGGCCUUCGGGUUGUAAAGUACUUUCAGCGGGGAGGAAGGUGUUGAGGUUAAUAACCUCAGCAAUUGACGUUACCCGCAGAAGAAGCACCGGCUAACUCCGUGCCAGCCGCCGCUGUAACAC